rnacentral:misc_RNA from 1 species
ACAAACUUGGUCAUUUAGAGGAAGUAAAAGUCGUAACAAGGUCUCCGUAGGUGAACCUGCGGAGGGAUCAUUACCGAGUGCGCGCCCUCUGGGGCCGACCUCCAACCCAUUGUUAUCCGACCAUGUUGCCUCGGGGGCGACCCGGCCGUUUGGCCCCGGGGCCCCCGGUGGACCUCUCCAACCCUGCAUCGCUGCGUCUGAGUAGAAAUUCAAUCAAUCAAAACUUUCAACAACGGAUCUCUUGGUUCUGGCAUCGAUGAAGAACGCAGC